UACGUAGGGGGCAAGCGUUGUCCGGAUUUAUUGGGCGUAAAGAGCGUGUAGGCGGUCUGGUAGGUCCGUUGUGAAAACUCGAGGCUCAACCUCGAGACGCCGAUGGAAACCAUCAGACUAGAGUCCGGAAGAGGAGAGUGGAAUUCCUGGUGUAGCGGUGAAAUGCGCAGAUAUCAGGAAGAACACCCGUGGCUAAGGCGGCUCUCUGGAACGCAACUGACGCUGAGACGCGAAAGCGUGGGGAGCAAACAGG
rnacentral:rRNA from 1 species